GACGAACGCUGGCGGCGUGCUUAACACAUGCAAGUCGAGCGGAAAGGCCCUUUCGGGGGUACUCGAGCGGCGGACGGGUGAGUAACACGUGAGUAAUCUGCCCUUCACUUGGGGAUUACCUCCGGAAACGGUGGCUAAUACCCGAUACGACCAUUCCUCUCAUCAGGUGGUGGUGGAAAGUUUUUCGGUUGGGGAUGUGCUCGCGGCCUAUCAGCUUGUUGGUGGGGUAAUGGCCUACCAAGGCUUCGACGGGUAGCCGGCCUGGGAGGGUGACCGGCGACACUGGGACUGAGACACGGCGCAGAAUCCAACGGGAGGCAGCAGUGGAGAACAUUGGACAAUGGGCGGAAGCCUGAUACAGCAACGCCGCGUGCGGGAUAACGGCCUUCGGGUUGUAAACCUAUUUCUCCUGUGACGAAGCGAAAGUGACGGUAGCAAGAGAAGAAGCACCGGCUAACUACGUG
rnacentral:rRNA from 1 species